rnacentral:misc_RNA from 1 species
AAGUCGUAACAAGGUCUCCGUUGGUGAACCAGCGGAGGGAUCAUUACCGAGUUUUCUACUCAAACCCUUGCGAACAUACCGUCAGAUGCUUCGGCGACCAGCCCCGGGGGGUACUACGCGGUCGCCGAUAGUAUUCAAAAUCUCUGUCAGAAUUCUUCUGAAUCAUAUAAAAAACAAAUCAAAACCUUCAACAACGGAUCUCUUGGUUCUG